UCGGUAAAAGAUGGGCAUGCGUCCUAUUAGCUAGUUGGUAUGGUAACGGCAUACCAAGGCCAUGAUAGGUAGGGGCCCUGAGAGGGGGACCCCCCACACUGGUACUGAGACACGGACCAG
rnacentral:rRNA from 1 species